rnacentral:rRNA from 1 species
CGUAAGGCGCCGAAUGAGUCAUUAAAAAAUUAACAUCAUCCGAUCCCUAGUCGGCAUAGUUUAUGGUUAAGACUACGACGGUAUCUGAUCGUCUUCGAUCCCCCUAACUUUCGUUCUUGAUUAAUGAAAACAUCCUUGGCAAAUGCUUUCGCAGUAGUUUAGUCUUCAAUAAAUCCAAGAAUUUCACCUCUGACAAUUGAAUACUAAUGCCCCCAACUAUCCCUAUUAAUCAUUACGUCGAUCCUAGAAACCAACAAAAUAGAAUCAAACGUCCUAUUUCGUUAUUCCAUGCUAAUGUAUUCAAGCGUGAGCCUGCUUUAAACACUCUAAUUUUUUCAAAGUAACAGUCCUGAUUCCCCAUGACACCAAAUUAAUGACAUCAUGGUUCGUCAGAAGGUAGGAAUCAAUAAUACCAGUACGUACAAUAGCACGACCAAUAAAUUAAUCCGAAAUUCAACUACGAGCUUUUAACUGUCAACAACUUUAAUAUACGCUAUUGAGCUGGAAUUACCG